rnacentral:rRNA from 1 species
GACAGAGGCCUCGAGCGUUAGGCGGAAUCACUGGGCUUAAAGGGUGCGUAGGCUGCGCGGAGGGUGGGAUGUGAAAUCCCCCGGCUCAACCGGGGAAUAGCGUCCCAAACCGCCGUGCUCGAGGGAGACAGAGGUGAGCGGAACUGAUGGUGGAGCGGUGAAAUGCGUUGAUAUCAUCAGGAACACCAGUGGCGAAGGCGGCUCACUGGGUCUUUCCUAACGCUGAGGCACGAAAGCUAGGGGAGCGAACGGG